rnacentral:lncRNA from 1 species
GGAUUUUUUUCCUCUCUAUCCCCUGCCCCAAAUGAGAAGCCAAGCAAGAAAACUGAGUUACCUGAUUAAAUCUUCCAUAUUGUUCGUUUGACUUUGAAACCUAAGCCAAGGUAUCCUGCAGAAGCCCCAAGAGCAUUUUGAGAACAUCAGUCAGUUCCUGGCUAGUCAGCUCCAGACUGUGUGUGGCUGUGGAUUUGGACGGCUUCGCAAAUGGGUAUUUCUUCACAAGAACUGUGUUUCCAGCAUUCGCUAAGACAGACCUCUCAGUAACUGGGGACCUGGCCUGCCCUGCCUACUGAGCUUGGGGGAAGAUCAGGUGGAGAUGAGUUGAUUAUAUUCCAUGAAGUAAUAGCUCCUCACCUGCCAGGGUUUAAACUACUUUUGCAGCAUCGCUUCACCUGUGGACUCUUUGAAAUUUUGCUUUCUUGGGAAAAAAAAAAAAAACAAAAAACGGGGUAAGAGGAGGUUGUUUUGAACAAGUUAGCGUCUUUUCCCUCCCUUCCAAGUUGAUACAAAGGAGCAGGCUGUGACUCCAUUGGAUUUUGCACCUUCACAUCAAAAU